rfam:Paxillus rubicundulus Ve08.2h10 scaffold_56_c1, whole genome shotgun sequence.
UCGGAUAUGGUGUAACGGCUAACAUGGCUGUCUUUCAACCAAGCCAGUAGGAUCACAGCAGCCCCGGGUUCGACUCCCGGUAUCCGAA